UAAAAUGUCAUAAAUUAGGAAGUAAAGACUUAUCCGAAACCUAAAGAAUUUGGCGGUGCUCUAAAUAAUUGGAGGAACCUGUUUUUUAAUUGACAAUCCACAACUAAUCUUACCCUGCUUUUGUUUGUAUAUCGUCGUUUAUAGGCAAUAUUUAAAAAUAAUAGUCAAGAUAAAUCUUAGUUAGAAAAUCAGAUCAAGGUGCAGCAUAUUAGGGGUUAAAUGGGUUACAAUAUUUUUAAAGUAACACGAAUAAUUUGUAGAAAUUUAAUUUGAAGGAGGAUUCAAAAGUAAGCUGGAAAUAACAUGUCUAUCUGAAUAAAAAUUUAGAGUAUGC
rnacentral:rRNA from 1 species